CACCGCGGUUAUACGGGGGACCCAAGUUGAUAGAACUCGGCGUAAAGGGUGGUUAAUUAAAGAUUUCACUAAAGCUAAACUACCCCCAAAGCAGUGAUAUGCUCACGAGGACAGGAGACUCAUCGACGAAAGUAGCUUUAAGUACAUAUGACCCCACGAAAGCUAGGGAA
rnacentral:rRNA from 1 species